ensembl:snoRNA SNORA63 Small nucleolar RNA SNORA63
CAGCUGGCCACUAUGACCUAUGCACAGAUGGGCUUUAGAAAGGCCACACCUGUUGUCGUUAGUCCUGCUCAAAAUAAAGCUAUUUCUUAACCAUACUUGUCUGUCCCCCCUGCAGCAGCCAGGGCUACUGGGUCUCAUACAU